AGAGGGGGCCAGCGUUAUUCGGAAUUAUUGGGCGUAAAGGGCGCGUAGGCGGCCAUGCGUGUCUUCCGUGAAAUCCCUCGGCUCAACCGAGGACGUGCGGAAGAAACUGCAAGGCUCGAGUCCGGAAGAGGGGGGCGGAAUUCCCAGUGUAGCGGUGAAAUGCGUAGAUAUUGGGAGGAACACCAGUGGCGAAGGCGGUCCCCUGGGCCGGAACUGACGCUGAGGCGCGAAAGCGUGGGUAGCAAACGGGAUUAGAUACCCCGGUAGUCCACGCCGUAAACGAUGGGCACUUGGUGUCGCGGGUAUCGACCCCUGCGGUGCCGAAGCUAACGCAUUAAGUGCCCCGCCUGGGGAGUACGGUCGCAAGGCUG
rnacentral:rRNA from 1 species